rnacentral:tRNA from 1 species
UCCCUGGUGGCUCAGAUGGUAGAGAAUCUGCCUGCAGUGCAGGAGACCUGGGUUUGAUCCCUGGGUGGGGAA